rnacentral:rRNA from 1 species
AUUGAACGCUGGCGGCGUGCUUAACACAUGCAAGUCGAUCGGUAACGCGGGGGCAACCCUGGCGACGAGAGGCGGACGGGUGAGGAACGCUUGGGAAUCUGCCUAUCAGCGGGGGACAACACGGGGAAACUCGUGCUAAUACCGCAUACGCUCUACGGAGGAAAGCCGGGGACCGUAAGGCCUGGCACUGAUAGAUGAGCCCAAGCCGGAUUAGCUAGUUGGCGGGGUAACGGCCCACCAAGGCGACGGUCCGUAGCUGGUCUGAGAGGACGAUCAGCCACACUGGAAAUGAGACACGGUCCAGACUCCUACGGGAGGCAGCAGUGGGGAAUAUUGGACAAUGGGGGAAACCCUGAUCCAGCGACGCCGCGUGGGUGAAGAAGGCCUGCGGGUUGUAAAGCCCUUUCGGUAGGGACGAAAGCUCUCGACCUAACACGUCGGGAGGUUGACUUAACCUACAGAAGAAGCACCGGCUAACUCUGUGCCAGCAGCCGCGGUAAAAC